GCCAGCGAGGCCCACUCUCUGAGCGGGACAAAACACACACACACACACACACACACACACACACACACACUCACACUGGUAAUCAAGACAGAAUCUCCCUCGUAGGCCACAGUCAAAAGUGGGGAGGAGGGAGAGGGAGGAGAGGGUCGAGGGGGAAAAGGGGAGAGAGACACAGAGACUGAGAGACAGAGGCAGAGACAGAGAGGCAGAGGCAGAGACAGAGAGGCAGACCCAGAGACAGAGAGAGACAGAAAGAGAUAGAGAAACAGAAAGACAGAGAGAGGGAGAGCGCAACUAGUCUCUCUCAUCUCUCUCCUCACCCCACCCCCUCAACCCGGGGCCCUCUCCCCCACUUUCACUUUAUUUCCAUGAUUAGUGUGACCAAAAUUAAUGAAUUAAUGGCUCCUAAUCGGGGCUGGCACGGGGGAAGUUUAGUUUGUUACUUUUAUUGAUUGUUUUGGGCGAGGGGGGAGAGGGAGGAGGAGGUGGGGAGGCAGAGGAGUUUCGAGGCAGCGUCUCUGUCUCCCCUCGAGGUCUCCAAGCCCGGGUCCUCUCAGUCGGCAGCAGGGGCGAAGGACAAAAGAAUGGAAAGUACAAAAUGGAAGCAGGACAAUGACCUUGGGAGAUGGAAAAAUGACUACUUCAGAAACUUGAGACCUGAAGUAGAAGCCAAAGAAAUACCAAGCUGCUUCUACUUGUCCAACCAAACCCUCACUCCAGGGAAGGGAACCAAGGGAAAGAAGUCCCCUGAGGGGGAACUCUCCAGGUGGUAUACCCUGGAAACAGAGAGUCCUGUAAACUUGGGCAGUGAAAAUGAAGAUGAGACUAACAAAGACUCUCCAGAACUGCCUAGUAUCAUCAAGAGAAGGAAUCAGGAACCCAUUUUCCUCAAUCUCCUUGGCAAAAAGGAAAAGAAAUGGAAACGAGGCAGCACAGAUCCUUUUCCUGGUUGA
rnacentral:lncRNA from 1 species